GUACUGUAUUUAAGGAAUGGGGGAGUUUGAUCGAGGUGCUUUGUUUUAUGCUAGACAGAAGAUGAAGUGGUGUGUUCUGCUGGUCUUGCUGCUGCUCAGGCUUGCCCCUAUACCAGUCAGAGCUGGCGUCCUUGGCAGAUGAAGCUCUCGUCGUGACCAUGACCCAAGUCAACAAUCUGUACGCUGGCCUUCGUCUAUACCGAGAUACCCAUGGCUCUGUCAAAAGGAAUUUGGCAAUACGUCCAAGAGGCCUCACAACCGCGUGUAUGGCGUCGAGUGGUUUGCUGAUGUCAACGUUGUGAACAGAGUGCCCCAUAGUGGCGGUGGGUUUAUGGUGUGGGCAGGCAUAA